CCUCAAUAUCCCAGUGUUUUAUUAAAGCUAUAUCUUUACGCAUGUAAUGUUUUAAUAUUGAAUGGCAGAAUCAGGAAUACCCAUGUUCAAGAAGCAAAAAGUUCCUUUACCCGUUGUUGUCGUAGAAGACCACAAUGAGGUAUUGUACCACAUAUACAGAGCUAUUGGGAAAAAACUUCUUCCCUUCGCGGAUGGAACGAUAAUUCAUUUGGACUCUCAUCCUGAUCUUCUUUUGCCUAAAAAUUUCGACCUCGAUAGGAUAUGGGACAAGCAAUAUAUCUUCAACUCUGUAAGCAUAGAAAAUUGGUUGCUGCCUGCGGCCCUAGCUGGUCAUUUCCGGAAUAUCUACUGGGUGAAGCCGUCGUGGUCACGUCAGUUGGAGGAUGGCAUUCAUCACUUUCAAAUAGGACGGCACAAAAAGACAGGACAAGUACGGAAUGAGAUAAAUGAGGUUGUUGUCCGACAGGUAAGGCUUAGCACCCUAUCGUGAAGAAUCGUUUGUACUGCCUCCUUCUGUAGGGACACCACAGCCCCCUCUCUCCCUUAAUGAUUGAAAGAAGAGGGUGUCUCAUUUUUCAUCUGUGGAACGGGGGGGGGGGCAGCUGUGUUCUUUAUUGAAACUCGUUCGUAGUUGAAACCUGUUGCCCCUGCGACUUCUUCACGUUUGUCUACCUUAACUCUGUACAGUUUUUCCUUGCCUCAAACAUAUUUGUACCAACCUUUCCGAUUUUUGAACGUGCAAAUCGACGAUUUCGCAUUAAAGAUAUCACUGUGUUAUGUUCAACACUGUCAGAUACUUGUUUGAUUCAGCACCUUCCGAAGAAACUGAACUUGAUAAGUAGGUGUUCCUAUAAAAUGUUGUGACUACAACCUUUACGGUAACUCUAUAUCAGAAGAAACUGAACUUGAAUAUUAGGUGUCUAUCUGUAAUAGUGUGACAACAACCUUCAUAAUGACUUCAUGUCAGAGAAAAACUGAACUUGAAUAUUGUGUGUCUAUCUGUAACAGUGUGACUACAACCAUCAUGGUGAAUCCGUGACAGAAGAAACCGAACUUGAUAAGUAGGUGUUCCUCUAAAAUGGUGUGACUACAACCUUUACGACGACUCCAUGUCAGAAGAAACCGAACUUG